UCUUCUAAUAAUGGAAAAAAUAUCUUCGGGUGAGGAUUAAAAAAAAAAAAGGCAAGAAGUGAUGAACUGGACACUGAAAGGCACUGCCUUGAUAAGAAUGCGUUUUCCUCCAUGAGAUUGAGCAGAGAAGAUGCUGUGUCUAGUACACAGAAGGCAUUCCAUCAAUAUCCAUUGAAUAGAAGAUGCUACUGACCUUACAGGAGUAAGAUGCAAAAUUUUCCCAUUAUUGUCAGUGAAGAGAACAACUUGCUGUGACUCUUCAUGAUUUUGCCCUUCCCCAGGACAAAAAGUACUUGCAAGAAGGCUAACUAAAGUUAACGUCUUUGAGAUCUUGAAUACAGUAAAGCCAACGCAUACUUUGAUCAAUGUAAAAUUUUCAAAAAGAAAUAAUACUUAAAACCAAAGUUACAAAUUGCAAUCUAUUUAAACUUUAAUUUGUGCAUCUGUGGUAAUUUAUGACUGCAAAACACUUUUUUCUUAGAAUGACAUAAUUAAAGGCACAUUUCAUAUGAAUGCAUAGUGUACCAUUCUAAAAUAUUUUAAUUUCCUCACAAAGUGCUUGAGCAGUCACUUACACAUACAGUAAUAGCAAAAUAUAUUUACACUCUAUAGAGUUUAAAAAUUUUAAAUCUGACUAAAAUAUAUAUAUAUAUGUUUAAAACUACAGAAAAAAUUAGUGCUUUCUUCAGCUUACUGGUGUGAAUAUACCCUGCCCUCUAAUUUUUUUUAGUGAUUGGCUUUAAUUAAAAAAAAAAUUUCUGUACAUUGUGUAGUUACAAAAAUGCUGUCAGUUUUUAAUGCUAAAAGCCUAUUUUAGACAUUGCUUUUUAUACAUAUUUGAGAACCUGAAAAGGUGAAAAGACUGUACCUCAAAAGUAUUUAGUGUUUUUUUAAAAUGUUGUGUUAAUACUGUUUAAAUUAAAGCCAGGCAAUUAAGCUAAGAUCCUCUAUUGUCCUUUACCAAAAGUCAACUGGCAUUUAAAAAUAACUUGAAACAACAUAUUGCUCCUUCUAGAAGAUUAUCCCCCAAAGGAUCUUGGGUAAUAAUCAACUUGAAAGGAAAUAUGAAUUAUCUCUGAACCAUUUGAAUUGUUCUCAGAGUACAGCAAAAACAUGCCAACACCCUCUAGCAAGGCUGAAAUAUUUAUAAAUGUUUUCAGCUCAACUCUCUGCUUUCGUGUUUCUCAUGAUUUAAACUUGAACAGUUUUUAAGACAUGAGAUCACUGUGAUUAAAUGGUUACUUCAGAAUGUUCAGUUAAUAACUUGCUUUCCUGAGGUAUGAUGAACCUAAUAUGCUAAGCACAGAAUCAAAGAUGUUAUUAUUGAACUAAGGAAAAACAAUGAAGUCAUGGACUAGAAGGGAAAAACAAAUGAACAAACAAACAAAAAUAUCCAAAACUCCAGGCAAGUGGAAAAGUCAUGGCUUACAAAAAGACUUUCCUAUAAGAGCAUUAAAAAGCCACGAAAGGAUCCUCUGAAAAGUUGUAUAAAGUACUUGAUCAAAUUAUUUUUGAGACUUUUGAGGUACAGCUUUAGUGUUAUAAUUUUUAUAAAAUAUAAACUGUUUUAUCAAAAAUAUUUAUACAUUCUGUUACAAUAUAUUGCUUUUGCCCUUAGUAACUGCCAAUAUAAAAUCUGGAUCCAGUGGCCUAAAAUGUACAAAUGCACUUAACAAAUGCGGGAGUUUGAGGUGUCUGCUUGGCCACUGUACAAAGUGAUGAAGUGGUGAAAUUAAA